CCUACGGGAGGCUGCAGUGGGGAAUAUUGCGCAAUGGGGGGAACCCUGAUGCAGCAAUGCCGCGUGAGUGAAGAAGCACUCCGGUGCGUAAAGCCCUUUCCGCAGGGACGAAGCUGACGGUGGCUGCACAGGAAGCACCGGCUAACUACGUGCCAGCAGCCGCGGUAAUAAGUAGGAGGCAGGCGUUAUCCGGAGUUACUGGGUGUAAUGGGAGCGGAGGCGGCGGGGCAAGUCAGAUGUGAAAACCCGGGGCGCAACCCCGGGAGUGCAUUUGAAAAUGCCAUUCUGGAGUGCCGGAGAGGCAAGCGGAAUUCCUAGUGUAGCGGUGAAAUGCGGAGAUAUUAGAAGGAACACCAGUGGCGGAGGCGGUUUACUGGACGGUAACUGACGCUGAGGCUCGAAAGCGUGGGGAGCAAACAGGAUUAGAUACCCUGGUAGUC
rnacentral:rRNA from 1 species